AUAUGGUCAAGUAAGUAAGGGCUUAAGGUGGAUGCCUAGGCACUGGAAGGCGAUGAAGGUCGUGACAAGCUGCGAUAAGCUACGGGGAGAAGCAAAUAUUCUAUGAUCCGUAGAUCACCGAAUGGGAAAACCUAUAGAAGUAAACCUUCUAUAUUAUACACUGAAUCCAUAGGUGUAUAAGGCAACACCCAGGGAACUGAAACAUCUAAGUACCUGGAGGAAGAGUAAUCAAAAUUGAGAUUCCCUCAGUAGUGGCGAGCGAAAGGGGAAGAGCCUAAACCGUAAUAAUGUCAAGUUGUAAGGCGUUGUUAUUGCGGUGUUGUAGGGCGGCGAGUGGUAUACUUACAUACAUCGACUUUGCUAUAUAUGAUAGUGGAACUGUUUUGGAAAAGCAGGCCAUAGUGGGUGAUAGCCCUGUACACGAAAUCAUAUAUACAAGGUUUUGUCGUUCCUGAGUAGGGCGGGGCACGUGAAACCCUGUUUGAAUCUGGGUAGACCACUAUCCAAGGCAAAAUACUAACCAGUGACCAAUAGUGUAGAGUACCGUGAGGGAAAGGUGAAAAGUCUCCCGUUGAGGGUUAUUAAAUAGAACCUGAAACCUUAAGCUUACAAGUAGUCAGAGGGAACCCUGCUAGCAAUAGUAGAAGGCCUGAUGGCGUGCCUUUUGUAGAAUGAGCCUGCGACUUAUAGUAUGUAGCAAGAUUAAGAGGUAAUAGCCUUGUAGUCGUAGUGAAAGCGAGCCUUAAUAGGGCGAAAUUAGUUGCAUGCUAUACGACCCGAAGCCAAGUGAUCUACCUAUGAGCAGCGCGAAACUCGAGUAACAUUGAGUGGAGGUGCGAACCAGUGGCCGUGAAAAGGCUUUGGAUGACUUGUGGGUAGGAGUGAAAGGCUAAUCAAACUUGGAGAUAGCUGGUUCUCUCCGAAAUGUCUUUAGGGGCAGCGUUAUGUGUUUACUUGCGGGGGUAGAGCACUAAAUGGACUAGGGCUCCUAACCGAGUACCAAACCCAACUAAACUCCGAAUACCGUAAGUUAAGAGCAUGGCAGUUAGACAGCGGCGGAUAAGCGUCAUUGUCAAAAGGGAAACAGCCCAGAUCCUCAGCUAAGGUCCCAAAAUCUAUGUUAAGUGGGAAAGGAUGUGAGAAUACUUAAACAGCCAGGAGGUUGGCUUAGAAGCAGCCAUUCCUUUAAAGAGUGCGUAACAGCUCACUGGUCGAGUGUUUUUGCGCCGAAAAUGUAACGGGGCUCAAACAUAGUACCGAAGCUAGGGAAUUAUAGAGUUAAUCUAUGAUUGGUAGGAGAGCGUUCUUUAAGCCGUUGAAGGUGUAUCGUAAGGUAUGCUGGAGGUAUAAGAAGUGAGGAUGCAGGCAUGAGUAACGAGAAAACGGGUGCGAAACCCGUUCGCCGCAAACCCAAGGUUUCCUAGGUAAAGCUAAUCUGCCUAGGGUUAGUCGACCCCUAAGAUGAGGCUGAAAAGCGUAGUCGAUGGGAAACAGGUAAAUAUUCCUGUACUAUAGUAUGUUUCGAUGGAAUGACACAGAUUGUUUGCGUACGCGAGGUGAUGGUUAUCCUCGUCGAAUAGCCGAGACUUGUGGUGAGUAAAAUGCUUGCUGCUUUAAGGUUGAGGUGGAUAGUGACUGGGCUUUCGGGUUCAGGAAGUUGCGUGAAUUAGGCUGUCUAGAAAUAAUUCCUAAGGUUAGGCAUAUUAUAAUCGUACCGCAAACCGACACAGGUGGGUGAGAUGAGUAUUCUAAGGCGCUCGAGAUAAUCUUCCCUAAGGAACUCUGCAAAUUAGUCUUGUAACUUCGGAAAAAGAGACGCUUGAAUCUCGGUAGCAAUAUCGGGAGGAGAGUCGCAGUGAAAAGGCCUGGCCGACUGUUUAACAAAAACACAGAUCUCUGCAAACAUGUAAAUGGAUGUAUAGGGAUUGACACCUGCCCAGUGCUGGAAGGUUAAAAGGAGAGGUUAGCGUAAGCGAAGCUUCGAAUUGAAGCCCCAGUAAACGGCGGCCGUAACUAUGACGGUCCUAAGGUAGCGAAAUUCCUUGUCGGGUAAGUUCCGACCUGCACGAAUGGUGUAACGAUCCGGGCACUGUCUCGGGGAAGAACUCGGUGAAAUUGAAUUAUCAGUGAAGAUGCUGAUUACCCGCAACAGGACGGAAAGACCCCGUGAACCUUUACUAUAACUUGACAUUGAGUUUUGUUUUGUGAUGUGUAGAAUAGAUGGGAGGCUUUGAAGUGGGAGCGCCAGCUUUCAUGGAGCCAUCGUUGAAAUACCAUCCUUCGCAAAAUGGGAUUCUAACGAUUAGCCGUUAUCCGGCAGUCGGACAUUGUCAGGCGGGUAGUUUGACUGGGGCGGUCGCCUCCUAAAGAGUAACGGAGGCGUGCAAAGGUCACCUCAAACCGAAUAGAAAUCGGUAGUAGAGUAUAAAGGCAUAAGGUGGCUUAACUGCGAGAGAGACAUCUCGAGCAGGUGCGAAAGCAGGUCUUAGUGAUCCGGUGGUCCCGAGUGGAAGGGCCAUCGCUAAACGGACAAAAGGUACUCCGGGGAUAACAGGCUUAUCUCCCCCAAGAGUUCAUAUCGACGGGGAGGUUUGGCACCUCGAUGUCGGCUCAUCGCAUCCUGGGGCUGGAGCAGGUCCCAAGGGUUUGGCUGUUCGCCAAUUAAAGCGGUACGCGAGCUGGGUUCAGAACGUCGUGAGACAGUUUGGUCCCUAUCCGUUGCGGGCGUUGGAAAAUUGAGAAGAGUCAUUUUUAGUACGAGAGGACCGAAAUGAACGCACCUCUGGUGUAUCUGUUGUUCUGCCAAGGGCAUCGCAGAGUAGCUAUGUGCGGACGGGAUAACCGCUGAAAGCAUCUAAGUGGGAAGCCUCCUUCAAGAUUAAUUUUCCCUAUGAGUUUCGUUGGAGACUACGACGUUGAUAGACUGCAAGUGUAAGCAGGGAAGAAAUACCUGUUCAGCUGAGCAGCACUAAUCAGACCAAUGGCUUGACCAUAUUAUCGUUUUCUUCUUACAA
rnacentral:rRNA from 1 species